rfam:Neotoma lepida isolate 417 scaffold_3956, whole genome shotgun sequence.
GGAGAGAUGGCCCAGAGGUUAAGAGCACUGGCUACACUUCCAGAGGACCUGGGUUCAAUUCCCAGCAUCUACA